rnacentral:rRNA from 1 species
UACGUAGGGGGCAAGCGUUGUCCGGAUUUACUGGGUGUAAAGGGUGCGCAGGCGGCUUUGCAAGUCAGGCGUGAAAGCUAGGGGCUCAACCCCUAAACUGCGCUUGAAACUGUGGAGCUUGAGUGAAGUAGAGGCAGGCGGAAUUCCCGGUGUAGCGGUGAAAUGCGUAGAGAUCGGGAGGAACACCAGUGGCGAAGGCGGCCUGCUGGGCUUUAACUGACGCUCAGGCACGAAAGCAUGGGUAGCAAACAGG